rnacentral:rRNA from 1 species
UACGGGGGGGGCAAGCGUUGUUCGGAAUUACUGGGCGUAAAGGGCGCGUAGGUGGCCCGUGGAAGUCUGCGGUGAAAGUCCGGCGCUCAACGCCGGAUCGGCCGUGGAUACUCUCGGGCUUGAGCUUACUAGAGGCAGAUGGAAUUCCGGGUGUAGCGGUGGAAUGCGUAGAGAUCCGGAAGAACACCGGUGGCGAAGGCGGUCUGCUGGGGUAAUGCUGACACUGAUGCGCGACAGCGUGGGGAGCAAACAGG